UACACUCUUUUACGAGUCACAACAGGUCUAGUGCAAGACAUGACUUGAAGGGAUGGAAAGGCGUGCAUUACAAAUUAACUUUUAAAGAAGCAAUCUGCCAGUGUCAGAAAUGCAAGCUGGGAUGGAAAGCAGGAGCUCUGCUCAUGCAGAGAAUUCUGUGACAUGUCAGAGCUGCUGAAAUGGAUCUUUUUGAUCAGAGCUGGUCCAGGGAAUACAGACACUCAGCAUUUAGCUUUGAAAUGAAACAAGCAUAAUAGAUAACAAAUUUUCUUUUUGAAAACAACUGUUGGGCUGUUGCAAAAAAUAACAGCAUAGGAUGGUUUGACAUUAGCUCUUGAAUUGAAUCUACAAAUUCAUCGUGACCAAGAGGGGGGGGAUCUUCCUCCUCCCCCUUCCUUCAGACUAUAAACACUCCUCUUUCUCCAUUCCCAUUCUCCCACACAUCAUGCCCUGAGCUGAGUCAAUUCAAGUUGUUGAAAGAGAAGAAAAUGAGCCUAACAAAGAAAGAAACUUUAUCUGUAAUUUAAAUACUUGUAACAAUUUAUCCAGCAGAGUGUUAGAGCUGGUUUUGGGGGAAGGUGGGAUCAGGCAGCUGGACCCAGCUGAGGAGGAAUUGACCCAUUCUCACAAGAAUGAGCCAUUACAUUUCAUCAGUGCAACUUUAUCCUCAAAUAAAGGAUCUGUUCUUCCAAAUCCUCCAUCCCAUGUCACCUAGACAGUGUUGCACCCUGCUGUGUCUCAGUUCUGGUGCUUGUUCAACCAGAGUGCUGUCAUGAGUAAAAUACACUAAUGUUUUCAUUGUCACUGACAUACUUUACUGGGUUACAUUGCUUAAAAAAAAAAAAAAAAAAAAAGAAAAAAAGUCAAAUAAGCCAUGCUGAACCUGAUGUAGUAAAGUGGCAGAGAUGCUCAUUCACAGCACUUCAAGAAGCCAGGCUGGUCAAUCAUACUGGUUUAGCUUGCCCUAAAUUGCAGUCUCCCUCAGAAUUAAAAAAAAAUAUUUUCCUCUCAGUAUUCUCAUUUUUCAUUCAAUUUCUUUCUCCAUUUAUGGAGAGAAUAACAGAACAGAGCAGCUGGAAGAUAGAAGUGGGCCAUCAUUUGGUAGAAGGACAACUAGAAGAUGCAGCUCAGAAUCACUGCCAUGUCCAUGGAGUGCACCAAGCCCACUCUAACAAAGAUCAGCGUCCAGGUGGAACAGAUGCAACCAGGGCUCUGCCCAAAGCAAGGAACUCGUGAUUCUGCUACAAAGGCGUAGAAGUCUGCUACAAUUCACCUAUUGAUUGAAGAAUAAACCAUUGUACAAUCCUGCACUGGAUGAAUCUUUUGAGACUCAAGAGCCAUUACCCACUAGUACUUAGAGGAGUCACUCAAAGCAAAAUUAAAAAUUGUCUGUGUGUAUAGCUGCAGAAGUAUCAGCUUAGGUUCAGGUGCAGGAAAGACAGUAAAAUCAGAGCUGAACAAAUCUAUUUGGAUGACUGUAGCAAAGCCUUGGCUUCAUUAGCUCUAUUAGAAAAAUAUACGUUUUCCUUCAAGACAGCCACACCUUUUCCUGACAUCCAUCCAUUUCCAUCUCUCAUUAGUACAUAACUGUCUUUCACAUACCCUGUUUAUCAAAUGAUCAAAUUUACUCAUGUAUAAAGCCAGCUUCCUACCUUGUCAAAAGGGAAAAUUGUCAUAUUACUCUCUUGUUAAGUGAGGAAAACCUUUAAGUGGAAAUAUAAUUUUCUGUAAAUUUUCAUAACAUCAAAACCAAACCUUGAAAGCCUAAAUAAACUAA